UACGUAGGGGGCAAGCGUUGUCCGGAAUCACUGGGCGUAAAGGGCGCGUAGGCGGCUCAUGAAGGCUGUGGUGAAAGUCCGGGGCUCAACCUCGGAUCGGCCGUGGCGACUCGUGGGCUGGAGCACUGUAGAGGCGGGUGGAAUUCCGGGUGUAGCGGUGGAAUGCGUAGAGAUCCGGAAGAACACCGGUGGCGAAGGCGGCUCUCUGGGCCUUACCUGACGCUGAGGAGCGAAAGCGUGGGUAGCGAACAGG
rnacentral:rRNA from 1 species